GGCUCAGUGGCUUAGUUCUUACACAUUUGGCUUGAGAACAAGGGGUUCCAGGUUCGAAUCCUGGCUAGGGCA